rnacentral:lncRNA from 1 species
UGCACGGAGACUCCUGUUAAUGUACUAUUUUCUGUCUUUAAGGUACUUCCAAAGGUGCAUGAUAGCCAAAGCUCCAGAGCACCCAUCAGACUAUUUUGCACCAAGGUACUGAAUUUGGGGUGGGGGAGGGAGGGAAGAGGCUGAGUAAGAGGAAAACAAAUUUUCAAAAUCUUAUUUCAGGGAUACUCAAAGGAUCUCUCUGCUUUCAAAACUUUCAGAGCAAGAUAGGGUCCUUUGUUUUUUGUAGCUUGGAGUAACUUUCCUGCCAACCGCCCAUCUAACCUCUGUCACUAGAAAGCUAUGUGCUGGCAAACUGGCCUCCGCAGUUCAAGGUUGGAGAACCCCAGCCAACGCCCGAGGGCGGGACAGAACCCAGGCGCCAAGCAGUGUCCUCGGGCUGCUAAUUUGCUGGACACACAGAGCCCUGUUCUGUAACCUCUCCUUAGGUUGUGGGUCCGCGCUUCCGGCAUCUUUUUUAACGACCGGCCGCUGGGCUCCCCAUCCCCAGGAGUCUCUCUCAGAAGCGCAUCCUGCUUCUCGGAACACGCGGAAAGCUCUCUGGGCAUCGGAAAACCCCGAGUUCUCUCCGGCGGUGGCACUUGCUCUCACGGGACGCACUGCAAGGACUGAACAUCGCUUCCACCUCAUCCCCAUGACCUCAUUAAGACCCUCCAGUUGCACCAGCCGUGGAGCGUUGGGAAUUUGAGGCAUGUCAGGUUUAAGACUAAGGAAAUCAGGUCCGCUCUUGAAUUAAGACUUCUUUCCACACACUGUUCAUACCAUUUCCCACCAUCAUUUUUCUUUUAUCUUUUUUUAAAAAAAGAUUUUAUUUAUUUAUUUGACAGAGAGACAGAUCACAAGUAGGCAGA